AACGUCCUACGGGAGGCAGCAGUGGGGAAUAUUGCACAAUGGGGGAAACCCUGAUGCAGCGACGCCGCGUGAGUGAAGAAGUAUUUCGGUAUGUAAAGCUCUAUCAGCAGGGAAGAAAAAAGACGGUACCUGACUAAGAAGCCCCGGCUAACUACGUGCCAGCAGCCGCGGUAAUACGUAGGGGGCAAGCGUUAUCCGGAUUUACUGGGUGUAAAGGGGGCGCAGACGGCAGCGCAAGCCAGGAGUGAAAGC
rnacentral:rRNA from 1 species